CCUACGGGUGGCAGCAGUGAGGAAUCUUGGGCAAUGGGCGCUAGUCUGAACCAGCCAAGUAGCGUGAAGGAUGACUGCUCUAUGGGUUGUAAACUUCUUUUAUAUGGGAAUAAAGUGCAGUAUGUAUACUGCUUUGCAUGUGCCUUAUGCAUAAGGAUCGACUAACUCCGUGCCAGCAGCCGCGGUAAUGCGGAGGAUUCGAGCGUUAUCCGGAUUUAUUUGGUUUAAAGGGAGCGUAGGCGGGUUGUUAAGUCAGUGUGGAAAGUUUGCGGCUCAACCGUAAAAUUGCAGUUGAUACUGGCAUCCUUGAGUACAGUAGAGGUAGGCGGAAUUCGUGGUGUAGCGGUGAAAUGCUUAGAUAUCACGAAGAACUCCGAUUGCGAAGGCAGCCUGCUGGACUGUAACUGACGCUGAUGCUCGAAAGUGUGGGUAUCAAACAGGAUUAGAUACCCUUGUAGUC
rnacentral:rRNA from 1 species